rnacentral:rRNA from 1 species
UACGUAGGGGGCGAGCGUUGUCCGGGGUUACUGGGCGUAAAGGGCGUGCAGGCGGUGCGGGAAGGUUAGAGUGACAGUAUCCGGCUUAACUGGAUAAGGCCUCUGAAAACUGCCGGACUUGAGGGCCAGAGAGGGACAUAGAAUUCCGGGUGGAGUGGUGAAAUGCGUAGAUAUCCGGAGGAAUACCAAAGGCGAAGGCAGUGUCCUGGCUGGCAACUGACGCUGAGGCGCGAAAGCUAGGGGAGCGAACAGG